UGGGGAAUCUUCCGCAAUGGGCGAAAGCCUGACGGAGCAACGCCGCGCGAGUGAUGACGGCCUUCGGGUUGUAAAGCUCUGUUAUAUGGGACGAACGGGCAUGGGGCCAAUACCCUCAUGCAGUGACGGUACCGUAAGAGAAAGCCACGGCUAACUACGUGCCAGCAGCCGCGGUAAUACGUAGGUGGCAAGCGUUGUCCGGAAUUAUUGGGCGUAAAGGGCGUGUAGGCGGCCAGACAAGUCUGUCUUAAAAGUGCGGGGCUCAACCCCGUGAUGGGAUGGAAACUGUCGGGCUAGAGUGUCGGAGAGGAAAGCGGAAUUCCUAGUGUAGCGGUGAAAUGCGUAGAUAUUAGGAGGAACACCAGUGGCGAAAGCGGCUUUCUGGACGACAACUGACGCUGAGGCGCGAAAGCCAGGGGAGCAAACGGGA
rnacentral:rRNA from 1 species